AUCAAUACCUGAAAUUGAUUCGCUUGGGGAACUUGUGAAACUAGAUCUUGACAGCAGGAGAUUAGUGACCAUCAACGUGCUGGUGAGAAAUCACAACUAAAGAGAACUUUGGAUAAAGAGUGAAUCGAUGAUUUCACCAUGUGUGAACACUGCUCCGCAGUAAUUAUUGUUUCAAGUGUGAAAAACCAUUGAAGGCUAUUUUUUUUUUUUUUUUUUUUUUUUGAGACGGAGUCUUGCUCUUUCACCCAGGCCGGAGUGCAGUGGCA
rnacentral:lncRNA from 1 species